ACACCCUUAGACAUUCCUUGUAGAUGUCUUAUAUAAGUCCAAUGCUUACUACUACUUGUUCUCUUCUUCAAUGUUAAGAUUCAUAAAACCAAAGUGCUACGUCUCCUUGCCUCAACACCAAAACUCUUUACUUCACUUCUCGUCACAAUCACGAAAGUCCAAUGCUUAGUUACUAGUCUUCUUCAGUGUUAAGAUUCAUAAAACCAAGUGCAAGUUCACUUCUUUCCUCCACUUCUUGUCAAUUCUCUGGUUAAUAUUACAGCACUUUACACAGCAUACUUCAAGGAUUAGACACUCAAAAAUUUCCGAAAAUCAGAACAGAUAUUUUCAAUUUUGAAGAGUCAGCAUCCAGCAAAAUCACAACUUUUACAAAUGUUACGAAGCUAAAGAGAUUUGUUUGACCAAAUUUGGAAAAAUUUGAUAGUAAUCCUCAAACUCGGAAUCAUAGAAUAGAAUCGAAAACAAGAAUAAAUAAUCUAGAAAAUUCCCAAUUCGAGCUCGAGAAAACACAGACACAUCGUUCCGAGAGAAAUUACCGGAGAUGAAUUCGUAAAAAAACGGCGACGGCGGCGGAAGCGGAAGGUCUCUUCGACGGCGGAGCAAGC
rnacentral:lncRNA from 1 species